AUGCAGAGACCAACGAGACCCACAACCAAACUAAGAAAGUCCCCUUAGGGAGCUGACCCCGGCUAUGGCGCAGGUGCCUACUAGUGCCACUCCAGUGCCACCUUGAGGACCCAUAUUUCUGACCAAUUAUAUUAGGCGAUCUGCAUGGAACUUGCACACCUUACUGAACCCAUGCCUAUCUACAAGGGUGCAAAUUUUGAAUGAUAUUGGUCAACAUCAACCUCAGCUAAAGGUGGCUGAACUUUAACCUCCGUUUGUGCAGGCUGCGAUGCUGAAACUUGGCCCAGUUGCAGCACCUUUCACAUGUAUCAGGAUAAUAAAU